AUUUGAAUGAAGUGACACUAGGUUGUGUUGUGUAGAACAGCAAAUCUGUCAAUCUUGUUCCCAAAUCUUUUUUAUGUCACAAGGGUGAACAACUUAAAAACUGUAUAUUUGUUGCUAUUGGAGCACAACAUGAUCACUGAAACUUCAGGUAUUGUUAGGUUUAUAUCCCCAGGUGUUAAUCCGGACCCCCAGGGCCACCGAAAAAUUGUUACAAUUCUUAGACUCAAAUUUUACUCAGUCUCCAAAUCAUACUCCGAUCUUGAGAAGGGGCCCAUUGAAUUUUAUGUUUAGUCCCUGUAUUGUUGAAGACUCUUUUUGCAUACCAAAGACCUUAAAGGGCUGUGUAUCUCCCCCAUCUUCAGUGGUAUGGGGGCACUUUACCUACUUUGUGCCUACAGUAUAAACAAGGUACCUGCACAGGCGUUCACACUCUCCCAGGGUAGCAAAAGGCACAGUCAGUAGUUCGGAGUGUAAGGGGAUCUGGGUUCAGCUGAUAAAAACUUUGCCUUCGGUCUGUAGAUCAAUUUCACCAAGUGCGAGAAAGCUGAUACUGUACCAAUACUGACCAUUUGAAGUUUUUAUUUUAACACUAUCCCCCACCCCAAUCUGGAGAACUCUUUUUUGUUACUACCCCAUACAUAUGUUACCCCACCUCCCACGUUAAGCCCUAUAUUUGUCCGCCAUAUGUAAAAGGCCAUAAGGUGACAGUUUUAGCAUAACUGUAUAUGAAAUGUAUUCUUGAAUAUAUGAAUAUAGUUACAAGCC